UGUCUGAGAUAGCCAUGGUUGGAGACCU
rnacentral:piRNA from 1 species